AUUGUAUCAAGAGAGGUGGAGGGACUGGCCCUUUGAAACCUCGGCAACAGGUUCGCGUGCGAAUACUGUGCCACUUCCUGCGAGCAAUUUGCUCGAAAGAUAGAAU
rnacentral:ncRNA from 2 species